GGAUUAGAUACCCUGGUAGUCCACGCUGUAAACGAUGAUCACUCGUUGUCGGCGAUACACUGUCGGUGACUAAGCGAAAGCAUUAAGUGAUCCACCUGGGGAGUACGAUCGCAAGAUUGAAACUCAAAGGAAUUGACGGGGGCCCGCACAAGCGGUGGAGCAUGUGGUUUAAUUCGAUGAUACGCGAGGAACCUUACCAAGGCUUAAAUGUACCAUGACCUCCUGAGAAAUCAGGAUUUCCUUCGGGACAAGGUACAAGGUGCUGCAUGGUUGUCGUCAGCUCGUGCUG
rnacentral:rRNA from 1 species